rnacentral:rRNA from 1 species
UACGAAGGGUGCUAGCGUUGCUCGGAAUUACUGGGCGUAAAGGGCGCGUAGGCGGUUUGUGCAGUCAGGCGUGAAAUGCCCGGGCUCAACCUGGGGGCUGCACUUGAUACGUAUGGACUGGAGUGGGGAAGAGGGUCGUGGAAUUCCCAGUGUAGAGGUGAAAUUCGUAGAUAUUGGGAAGAACACCGGUGGCGAAGGCGGCGACCUGGUCCUUGACUGACGCUGAGGCGCGAAAGCGUGGGGAGCAAACAGG